ensembl:lncRNA novel transcript, antisense to ZNF429
AAGACAGCUUCCGGAAUAUGGGGGCCUUUGUCUCCGGCUGCAGCUGGAGUUCUACGUCUAGUCUUCAGAGGCCCAGUCUCCGUGACUUUGUGACCUGCAGGUAUUGGGAGAUCCACAGCUAAGAUGCCAGGACCCCCUGGAAGCCUAGAAAUGGUGAGAGUGCCGGGUCCGACAUCCUGAGAAAAGGGAAGGAGUUGAUUGGAACUGGUGGCAAGUGGCUGUGGUGGGACUCGGGUCUCCCGUCAGUCAGCUCCACAGUCUGCGCCCCGAGUUCUCCUUGGCCAACUCAGCCUCAGUCCUCUUCAGCCAUAGCAUGGUGGCUGCGCUGACAGCAGGACCCUGGGCUGAAGGUGUGGGUUGCCCCUCCACACCUGUGGGUGUUUCUCGUUAGGUGGAAGGAGAGACUUGGAAAAGAGAAAGACACAGAGACAAAGUAUAGAGAAA